GACGAACGCUGGCGGCGUGCUUAACACAUGCAAGUCGAACGGAAAGGCCCUGCUUUUGCGGGGUGCUCGAGUGGCGAACGGGUGAGUAACACGUGAGUAACCUGCCCUUGACUUUGGGAUAACUUCAGGAAACUGGGGCUAAUACCGGAUAGGAGCUCCUGCUGCAUGGUGGGGGUUGGAAAGUUUCGGCGGUUGGGGAUGGACUCGCGGCUUAUCAGCUUGUUGGUGGGGUAGUGGCUUACCAAGGCUUUGACGGGUAGCCGGCCUGAGAGGGUGACCGGCCACAUUGGGACUGAGAUACGGCCCAGACGCCUACGGGAGGCAGCAGUGGGGAAUAUUGCACAAUGGGCGGAAGCCUGAUGCAGCAACGCCGCGUGCGGGAUGACGGCCUUCGGGUUGUAAACCGCUUUCGCCUGUGACGAAGCGUGAGUGACGGUAAUGGGUAAAGAAGCACCGGCUAACUACGUG
rnacentral:rRNA from 1 species